rnacentral:lncRNA from 1 species
ACUCCACAGAAUCAUCAAAUGGUGCUGAGAAAGGCAGAAAGGAACAGAGAGUCAUGAUCUUGGUAAAAGACUUCUUUCAUAAUGAACCAAUGCCAUGAAAUUUGCCUUAAAAAAAAAUGAAAGUCCUAGUAUUUCUGGAAGCUGGGUCUAGGAGAUACUUCCCUUCUCCUCUAAGUAUAUUAUAAUGUAGGGAUCCAGAGCCACCCAUUGACAACAGAUUAAGUUAAUAGAGAAAUCUGAAGUUUUGCUAAUCGUGUAUGAGAAAGAAGAGAGGGAAACAGAAACCUUGUGGAGACUAUGUAAUUGAAGAUUGAUGGAGAAAUUGCAUAAUAUUUUUAGGGGACUGAAGUAGUGAAUAUUGUAUAAUGAAAGCAUUUAUUUAACUGUUUG